rnacentral:snRNA from 1 species
GUGCUCGCUUUGGCAGCACUACACUAAAAUUGGAAGGAUACAGAGAAGAUUAGCAUGGACCCUGCGCAAGGAUGACAUGCAAAUUUAUGAAGCGUUUCAUAUUUUU